UAAAUCUGUGACGUAAAAUAAAACAAUAUUUUCUAGAUCUGAUAGCAAUAUAUGUCGGAUCACACUCUCUAUUUUCUAAAACCAUCUGCAGACACUUCAAUUGCAGGAUAUAUGAUCACCUAUGAAAUCAAUUUGAGUUAAUUGGAAAUGAGCACUUUUUACUGAUGUAGGAAUCCUUACAUACUCUAUAUGGAGAUACAUUCAUAGGUGUAUGGUUGGCUAUAAUAUGGAAAGUUUAAAAAGUUCAAAUCCGCAAAGCAUAAAGUAUAAAUAUGGAAUCUGGAAGCACUAAAAAGCAUUGUAUUGAAUGUGAAUACCAUGUGGAGAGAAAAAAUACUAAACUGAUAAUUUUGCUCGUGGUCUACCAUUUGAUGAAUUUAUUUAUGGUCCAUUAUAUCAAGAACACAAGAUAAGAUCAUAAUGUUAAUAGGCCACCAGUGUUGAUUCAAAGGUAUAUGUUUGACUAUAAUCAGGAGAAUGCGAGAAAAAACGCAAAAAGAAAGAAAGAUAACAGUUAUUUGUUCUAAAAGCAUAU